rnacentral:rRNA from 1 species
GCGGUUUGUCACGUCGUCUGUGAAAUCCCUCGGCUUAACCGGGGGCGUGCAGGCGAUACGGGCAGACUUGAGUACUACAGGGGAGACUGGAAUUCCUGGUGUAGCGGUGAAAUGCGCAGAUAUCAGGAGGAACACCGGUGGCGAAGGCGGGUCUCUGGGUAGUAACUGACGCUGAGGAGCGAAAGCAUGGGUAGCGAACAGGAUUAGAUACCCUGGUAGUCCAUGCCGUAAACGGUGGGCGCUAGGUGUGGGGUCCUUCCACGGACUCCGUGCCGUAGCUAACGCAUUAAGCGCCCCGCCUGGGGAGUACGGCCGCAAGGCUAAAACUCAAAGGAAUCGACGGGGGCCCGCACAAGCGGCGGAGCAUGUGGAUUAAUUCGAUGCAACGCGAAGAACCUUACCUAGGCUUGACAUAUACAGGACGACGGCAGAGAUGUCGUUUCCCUUGUGGCUUGUAUACAGGUGGUGCAUGGUUGUCGUCAGCUCGUGUCGUGAGAUGUUGGGUUAAGUCCCGCAACGAGCGCAACCCCUGUCUCAUGUUGCCAGCACGUAAUGGUGGGGACUCGUGAGAGACUGCCGGGGUCAACUCGGAGGAAGGUGGGGAUGACGUCAAAUCAUCAUGCCCCUUAUGUCUAGGGCUUCACACAUGCUACAAUGGCUAGUACAGAGGGCUGCGAUACCGCGAGGUGGAGCGAAUCCCUUAAAGCUGGUCUCAGUUCGGAUUGGGGUCUGCAACUCGACCCCAUGAAGUCGGAGUCGCUAGUAAUCGCAG